rnacentral:rRNA from 1 species
GAUGAACGCUGGCGGCGUGCCUAAUACAUGCAAGUCGAGCGAACGGACGAGAAGCUUGCGUCUCUGAUGUUAGCGGCGGACGGGUGAGUAACACGUGGAUAACCUACCUAUAAUACUGGGAUAACUUCGGGAAACCGGAGCUACUACCAGAUAAUAUUUUGAACCGCAUGGUUCAAAAGUGAAAGACGGUCUUGCUGUCACUUAUAGAUGGAUCCGCGUUGGAUUAGCUAGUUGGUAAGGUAACGGCUUACCAAGGCAACGAUGCAUAGCCGACCUGAGAGGGUGAUCGGCCACACUGGAACUGAGACACGGUCCAGACUCCUACGGGAGGCAGCAGUAGGGAAUCUUCCGCAAUGGGCGAAAGCCUGAUGCAGCCACGCCGCGUGAGUGAUGAAGGUCUUCGGAUCGUAAAACUCUGUUAUUAGGGAAGAACAUAUGUGUAAGUAACUGUGGACAUCUUGACGGUACCUAAUCAGAAAGCCCCGGCUAACUACGUG